rnacentral:rRNA from 1 species
AUAAUCCUCAAUAGGCGAUUGGAUCUGGAAGGACCUUUCGCCAAAAGGGACAGAGCGAAUGGGCUCUGUCUGCGCGAGGAUGGGACUGCGUCCCAUCAGGCAGUUGGUGGGGUAAUGGCCCACCAAACCUAUAACGGGUACGGGCCGUGAGAGCGGGAGCCCGGAGAUGGGCACUGAGACAAGGGCCCAGGCUCUACGGAGCGCACCAAGCGCGAAACCUUCGCAAUGCGCGAAAGCGUGACGGGGCUAUCCCGAGUGCUAGCCGCUGAGGCUAGCUUUUGCUCAGUGUAAGAAGCUGAGCGAAUAAGUGGGGGGCAAGACUGGUGUCAGCCGCCGCGGUAAUACCAGCUCCACGAGUGGUCAGGACGGUUAUUGGGCCUAAAGCGUCCGUAGCCGGCCCAGCAAGUUUAUGGUGAAAUCCGGCGUCUCAAGCGUCGGAGUGCUGUAAACACUGCUGGGCUAGGGAGUGGGAGAGGCCGAGGGUACCUCUGGGGUAGGGGCGAAAUCCUAUAAUCCCAGAGUGACGACCA